rnacentral:piRNA from 1 species
AGAAAAUGGCCGUGUCUAUCAUAG